UACGUAGGGGGCAAGCGUUGUCCGGAAUUAUUGGGCGUAAAGCGCGCGCAGGCGGUCAUUUAAGUCUGGUGUUUAAUCCCGGGGCUCAACCCCGGAUCGCACUGGAAACUGGGUGACUUGAGUGCAGAAGAGGAGAGUGGAAUUCCACGUGUAGCGGUGAAAUGCGUAGAUAUGUGGAGGAACACCAGUGGCGAAGGCGACUCUCUGGGCUGUAACUGACGCUGAGGCGCGAAAGCCAGGGGAGCGAACGGG
rnacentral:rRNA from 1 species